rnacentral:misc_RNA from 1 species
UUUCCGUAUGUGAACCUGCGGAAGGAUCAUUAACACGUUCCAAGACCUAAAAACCAACCUGAGAACUAGUCAAAGCUUUUUUCUAUAGCCUAGUUCAUUUUAAGCUAUGAUUGAAGCUGAUCUUCAGCUUUAUCGCAUUGGCGUAUCUGCCCUAGUGGUAGUGCGUUCCAAUCCAUAUAGUUGUUGAUCAUACCUUUUUUAAAACGCCCUUCAUCAGCUGCUUAGCUAGUCUGACGAAUCUUUAUCAUUAUCAACUUCUACCAACGCAGGUUUUGUGUCGAUUAGCUGAUUGUGUAUCAGCCCGACCACUGCUGGUUGGUCUAUAGAAAAAAAAUCUAAGAACAACUCUUAGCAAUGGAUAUCUUGGUUCCC